rnacentral:rRNA from 1 species
UACGAAGGGGGUGAGCGUUGUUCGGAAUUACUGGGCGUAAAGGGCGCGUAGGCGGCCGAUCAAGUCAGAUGUGAAAGUCCUGGGCUUAACCUGGGGACUGCAUUUGAUACUGAUUGGCUUGAAUUCGGGAGAGGAUAGCGGAAUUCCCAGUGUAGAGGUGAAAUUCGUAGAUAUUGGGAAGAACACCGGUGGCGAAGGCGGCUAUCUGGACCGACAUUGACGCUGAGGCGCGAAUGCGUGGGGAGCAAACAGG